rnacentral:rRNA from 1 species
AAACUGCGAAUGGCUCAUUAUAUAAGUUAUCGUUUAUUUGAUAGUACCUUACUACUUGGAUAACCGUGGUAAUUCUAGAGCUAAUACAUGCUAAAAAUCCCGACUUCGGAAGGGAUGUAUUUAUUAGAUUAAAAACCAAUGCCCUCUGGGCUCUCUGGUGAUUCAUGAUAACUUCGCGAAUCGCAUGGCCUUGCGCCGGCGAUGGCUCAUUCAAAUUUCUUCCCUAUCAACUUUCGAUGUUUGGGUAUUGGCCAAACAUGGUUGCAACGGGUAACGGAGGGUUAGGGCUCGACCCCGGAGAAGGAGCCUGAGAAACGGCUACUACAUCCAAGGAAGGCAGCAGGCGCGCAAAUUACCCAAUCCCGACACGGGGAGGUAGUGACAAUAAAUACUGAUACAGGGCCCUUUUGGGUCUUGUAAUUGGAAUGAGUACAAUUUAAAUCCCUUAACGAGGAACAAUUGGAGGGCAAGUCUGGUGCCAGCAGCCGCGGUAAUUCCAGCUCCAAUAGCGUAUAUUAAAGUUGUUGUGGUUAAAAAGCUCGUAGUUGAACCUUGGGCCUGGCUGGCCGGUCCGCCUCACCGCGUGUACUGGUCCGGCCGGGCCUUUCCCUCUGUGGAACCCCAUGCCCUUCACUGGGUGUGGCGGGGAAACAGGACUUUUACUUUGAAAAAAUUAGAGUGCUCCAGGCAGGCCUAUGCUCGAAUACAUUAGCAUGGAAUAAUAGAAUAGGACGUGUGGUUCUAUUUUGUUGGUUUCUAGGACCGCCGUAAUGAUUAAUAGGGACAGUCGGGGGCAUCAGUAUUCAAUUGUCAGAGGUGAAAUUCUUGGAUUUAUUGAAGACUAACUACUGCGAAAGCAUUUGCCAAGGAUGUUUUCAUUAAUCAGGAACGAAAGUUAGGGGAUCGAAGACGAUCAGAUACCGUCGUAGUCUUAACCAUAAACUAUGCCGACUAGGGAUCGGACGAUGUUAUUUUUUGACUCGUUCGGCACCUUACGAGAAAUCAAAG